rnacentral:rRNA from 1 species
GAGGGUGAUCGGCCACACUGGAACUGAGACACGGUCCAGACUCCUACGGGAGGCAGCAGUAGGGAAUCUUCCGCAAUGGGCGAAAGCCUGACGGAGCAACGCCGCGUGAGUGAUGAAGGUCUUCGGAUCGUAAAACUCUGUUAUUAGGGAAGAACAUAUGUGUAAGUAACUGUGCACAUCUUGACGGUACCUAAUCAGAAAGCCACGGCUAACUACGUGCCAGCAGCCGCGGUAAUACGUAGGUGGCAAGCGUUAUCCGGAAUUAUUGGGCGUAAAGCGCGCGUAGGCGGUUUUUUAAGUCUGAUGUGAAAGCCCACGGCUCAACCGUGGAGGGUCAUUGGAAACUGGAAAACUUGAGUGCAGAAGAGGAAAGUGGAAUUCCAUGUGUAGCGGUGAAAUGCGCAGAGAUAUGGAGGAACACCAGUGGCGAAGGCGACUUUCUGGUCUGUAACUGACGCUGAUGUGCGAAAGCGUGGGGAUCAAACAGGAUUAGAUACCCUGGUAGUCCACGCCGUAAACGAUGAGUGCUAAGUGUUAGGGGGUUUCCGCCCCUUAGUGCUGCAGCUAACGCAUUAAGCACUCCGCCUGGGGAGUACGACCGCAAGGUUGAAACUCAAAGGAAUUGACGGGGACCCGCACAAGCGGUGGAGCAUGUGGUUUA